UUGGGUUAAUUUUUGGAUUAUAUUUGUUAGAAAGAAAAUGGGGACAUGGUGAUAUGCAUGAAGACCAAAGGGGGGACCAAGCAUUAAAGGAUCAAGAUAUUUUCCUUGAUUUUUCUUCCUUGGCUGCAGCUUCCUUCGCACGCCUGUCCACCGCCUCUCUCCCUCAUCCGAUUCUCUCUUCUCCUUUGGCCUCCUGCGCACGCCAGCUCCUUCGUCUCUCUCUCUUUCUUCGUGCGACGCCUUCAGCUUCUUCUCCAUGAUCAUUUCCCACCAUCUUCGGUCUUCCUUCUCAUUUCUUUUUCAUUUCACGUUUACUUCUCCACUCACCGAAUCACCCCACCAUUUGCCAUCUUCCUCGUGAAAUUCUCCUCGCACCAAAGCCCACGCGCCCGAAGCUCCAUUUGCUUCGGUCAAAACCCCAAUCGAAGGCCAAAGCCCAUGCUUCCUUCAUUCUGGUUUUGCUUUCCUUUCCCUUACAGCAACCCACCGAAUUCUUCUCUGCCGAUUUGCCAACGCUAGCUUCGCU
rnacentral:lncRNA from 1 species